GAAGAAGUAGGCGGCGAGAAGGAGCACAAGGAGGAGCAGCAGCAGCGGCAGUAGCAGCCAGGCCAGCGGCUGGGAGGCGCCCGGGUCCGGAGGGCCUGCAGGAGAAGCAGAAAGACCCGAACCCCUGACCUCACUUCACAGUCUGCAAAAGAGUUCCCCUCCAUGAGCCCUUCUUCCUGGACACCAGAACCCCACACUAUAGUUUGCACCGUGGAUCCAUCAUCCUGAAAAGGCCCCACGAGGUUGAUCUUCCUCACCCGGAAAGAGACCCACAGCCCCAGGCCCAGCUCAGUGGCUUUGUUGCUGCUCAGGACCUGCCCCUGGCUCAUCAGCCCAAAUUCCAAGGGGCACUGGUGGCCUCACUGCCACCUUUGGGCCCCACCCACUCUCCCAACGUCGGACUUUGUUCCUGCUCCUCCCCGGCCGGCCACACAGCCCCCUCCUCACCAAAAUGUUCCCAUUCCUCGAGGACAAUUUCAAAGGCCCCCACCUCCAAGAAGCCCACUGGACUCCUCUCUUGUGGACCCAGAGGGGCCCUGGAUGCCUCAAAGCGCAAACCUCACUCUGCCAUGAGUGAACAGGCCGUCAGCAUGACUGCCUUGGCGCCUAGGUUUCUGGGGAAGCCCCUCGAAGGCAACGAUUGAGCUUCCAACUCUUCAAGUACCCAGAAGCACCAAUCACUUGCCCCGAGCCCAGCACAGGCUCCAUGCGCUUCCUCCUGAGGGCUGGCCUGGCCCCCCGAGGGUGCUCCAGGCACUGGGAGGGCUCUGCAGCCCCAGAGGCUCUGCUCACCUCACACCCCUCAUCUGGAUUCUAAAAGGGACCCUCAUGCCUUCCGCCUUGCACCCUAGGUUAUAAACUCCCCAGGGAAGGUCUGGCUUUUCCUCCCUCAUCCUCCACCCUCCCAGGCCUGGCACUGACUCUGGCACCCUGUGAGUGGUCCACGCCAUCGUUUCUAAUAAAUGAUGAAGUUUUAGGGACGUGGGUGACCAUUAGAUGUUGAAGUUCACAGAGGAAACAGCUGGUCUGUGAUGAGGAGGUGGCCCCAGCCAUGAGAGGGCACUGUUCACCUGGCCCACCCACUAAGUGCCCACCUUCCAGGUGGCGUCCGUGCCUCCCCCAUCUGGCUAGCAGUGUCAGUAGCCUGGUAGACUGGCUGUGCUGUGCAGCCCCCACACUCAGGUGUCUGUGACCCUGGGCCAGAGGAGCCGGUUCUGGCCCCACACAAGGUUGGGUUGGUGCCAGGCUGAGUGGCUGGGUGUGGCUGCCACAGUCCCCCACCUUUGACCUCCAACCUGCCCAUAGCAGAGCUUCCCUGGGGAAUUGAGCUGGCCUGAGGCUUCUACACUUGCAGCUCCAGAGGGCACCCCUCUCCACUCUGCCAGGGCCUUGGAGCAACUCCGACAGGCUGAGUGGGAAGACCCCUGACACGGAGGGAGGGGCAGCAUGGAGCCCAGCCCCAUGGAGGGCCUGGCUGCUGCUUGCACUCCGGACUCAGCCAGAAAGCUUGGGCAUCGGUCCCCCUCCUCCUUCCCGAAUGUACCCAAGUACAUCUGCCCUCAUGUCCUGGGGCCCCAGGCAAUGAAACUUCCCACUUGGGCAUCACACGGAGGUCAGGCUCUGGGCUCAGCUUCUGCAGAGAUGGUGACUACUAAGUUUAGUCCAGGCCAACUCAUGGGGUCCUCUCAUCAGAGAGAGACACGAGGGAGCACCUGGGCCCCGCCAGCCCUCCAUGGGUCCAGCCUCCACGUUCCUGCUUGGAGUGAAGGCUGCAGUCACAGACAUUGGUGCUUCCAUAGAAGAUGGGGUGGAACCACCCAUGCCCAGAAAGGGGCCGUGCACAUAGGCAGAAGGAAUGGGUCACAGGGCCAGUGGCUCCCCCAGCUCUGGUCCUGGUGUUUCUUAGUAGCUGCCUCUGCUCAGGAGGCCAGAGAUCAGGAUCAGAAACCCAAUGGCCUUCAAGGGGCAGGUGAGAACAUCCCCGGGUGGCGUGGGGAGGCCAGGUGGGGGCGGGAGUGCGGAUUCCCCAUGUCCUGCCUGCAGGGAUGGCUACUUUUGAGUUCCAGCCCACUGGGGCCAAGCACAAGGGGUGCCCAGAGUGCCUAGUUCUUCCCACUUUCCCAAAGAAGAAAUUCAUAUUUUUAUGUAAACAUUUUCUGAUUUUUAAAUAUUGGUAAGAAAUUCAAUUUAAAAACAAUUUUUAAAAAUGGUGUGGACCAGGAAGAAAACAAAAAAAAAGUCCUCUGGGCACCAAUGCGGUCCAGCCAGGAGUCAGGGAGGCAUCUGAGAAGAGAUUCCUGUCACAGUCUAUUUUCAUUUCAUGUUGUUGUGGCUCUGACGGCAUGGGACAGAGGUCAGGGUGGCCAGUCCCCAGGGUGGUCAUCCUGAAGCAGCCUUCUUCCUGUAUGACUGUCUAGCUAUUGCCCAAAGUGAAGUGUGUGUAUGUUCACACCGAUUUUAUACAUAUGUACACUUGCAACUUGUGUGUGUGUGUGCGCAUGUUUGCUUACAUAGAAUCUGAUCCUGAAAGUUGAACACCUUAGGCUUGAAUGUGACUUUGGAGCAGACAAAGAGAAUGGCCACCUUGGCUGGAGUGUGGCCACGCAGCACCCUCUGCUCAGGAAGCUCAUCCUGAGUUCUGGCCAAGAGCCAGGGUCUUCCAGGGACUACCUCAGUUCUGCCCCAGGGCACAGCUGCUCUCACUGUGUCCCCCAUCUUAUCUCCAUCCCUCUUCUCCUCUCCCACCUUCAUUCCAAGCCCUCCUUCCCCAGGGGCCCUAGAGGUGGAGCAAGUCCAUACCGGAAAGAUGUGGCUCACUCAAGGACAGGUGUGCAGACAAUGGUUUAAGGUCCCAACUCACUCCGGCCUAAAAUUUUCAAUGUUCAGGAACCUGUUCUCUUUGCCAGAGUUAAACAUAAUGAAGAUUUCAAAGUGUACCUUUCCUGACAUUUUCUUCUAUAAAUUUACGUUCAUAAAUAUGCAGGUUUGGGAAAUAAAUAGAUCAUACUACUCUCGUUUCAUCUACAGCUUCACGGAUUGUAAAAAGUAUCGUUAUUUUAAGAACCACUAAGAAAGAAAAAAAAUGAUACUGAUUAUAAUUGUGAAGUGCUACCAAUUUUAAGACACGUCCCCAUAUAGCCACAUUAAAUAUGAAAGAAACAGAUGAAAUGCACCGCGGGGCAGUUCUCCAGCUUGCUUUUCUGGUACGGCUGUCUGUCUUGGAGAGCUUCCAUGUCAGCCCAGAUAAGCUUCCUCAUUCUGUUUAAUAGCUGCUUGGAUUCCACUUUUUGGGUAGACCAAAAUAGGAUGGACAUUUAAGUUGUUUCCAACUUUUCUGCUAUUACCUACAAUUCUGCAACACACACACACGUGUAUAUAUAUAUAUCUUUUUGUCUCGCAAGUGUUUCUGUAGGAUAGCUUCUGUGUUAGCCUGUAUGCCUGUUACAUUUUAACACAAUCGCCAAGUUGGCAGCCCUAAGUUUCCAAAUUCUACAUUCAUCCAUAGCAGAGGUCUCCAACUCCCCCAGGACACAGAUGGGUAUCAGUCUGUGGCCUGUUAGGAACUGGGCCACACAGUAGGAGGUAAGUGGCAGGUGAGCAGGCAUUAUCGCUUGAGCGCUGCCCCCUGUCAGAUCAGCAGCGGCAUUAGAUUCUUACAGGAGCCUGAGCCCUAUUGUGAACUGCGCAUGCCAGGGAUCUAGGUUGCGCGCUCCUUAAGAGAACCCGAUGCCUGGUGAUCUGUCACUGUCUCCCAUCACCCCCAGAGGGGCCGUCUAGUUGCAGGAACACAAGCUCAGGGCUCCCACUGAUUCUACAUGACGGUGAGUUGUAUAUUUCAUUAUAUGUUACAAUGUAGUCAUAAUAGAAAUAAAGUACACAAUAAAUAUAAUGCACUUGAAUCAUCCCCAAACCACCCCCCACCCCAAUUCCACGGAAAAACUGUCUUCCAUUAAACUGGUCCCUGGUGCCACAAAGGUUGCAGAAUGCUGCCCAUAGUGUGCAAUGGAGCCAAUUUCUCUUCUCUGGGAUAUUGUUGCCAACCCUUUUCAUUUUGGUCCAUCUGAUAGGUAAAAUGAUAAUGUCAUUUUAACUUCCAUUUCUCUAAUUUCUAGAGAGUUGAGCAUCUUUUCAUGAUUAGUGAAACAUAAUUAGAUAUUUGUAUUCUGCCUGAUCAUAUUUUCUACUCAUUUUUCUACUGUGUUCUUUUACAUAUUUUUUUAUAGAUAACAUUUUAUUAUAUAAUUUGUAAACAUUUACCUUCAAUUUCUUCUGUAAAAGAAUUUGUCUGGAUGAGUACUGAAUAUAUUUUGUUCAAUGAACAAA